CUGAAGUUCACGUAAAUGAAAUCAUACAGCAUGUUCUCUUUGUGUCUGGCUUCUUUGGCUCAACAUUGUUUCUGUGAGAUUCAUCAAUGUAGUUACAUGAAGCAGUUGCUCAUUAUUUUUAUUGCUGUAUACUAUUUCAGUUUAAGAAAAUACCAAAACAGAAGCAUUUCUGGAAUGAUAGAAACUCUGGAAAUAAGCCAAAGACUUGAAGCAAUCUUUAAUAUCAUUUAUUCAAGAAAAACAACUGAAUUUUGGGAAAUUAGAGCUCUCGGCUGGGAAUACCACCACCCUCCAUUGUCCAGUUCUACAAACUCACCUAUUUCUACUUGCCCUUUCUUCUUCCCUCCUGCCUCAAAACAACAAAGAGAGAGAGAAGAAAGGAAAGGAACAGAAAGGAAAGAAGCUCCUCCUUUCUCACCUUGCCGAAAGACAAAACGCUUAAGCAGAAGCCGCACGGGUGGGAUGCACCGGAGGACCGGGGGCACAGACCCAGCUCGCGCGCACCGAGCUCGCUCGGGCAGCUCGGCAGGCGUGGCGGACCGGUUCCCACCCCCGGCUCCCCGGCGCCCGGCAUCUCCGAGCGGACGAGGCGUCCCCCCAGAGGAAAGACGGGAAGCCGCAGACGCCCCCCGGAGGAGUCAUCAGCCCCCCGCCCCGCCUCGGGGUCCCGUUCCUCUUGGGCUCCCCCUGACCACUCGGGCGUGCGCUGCAGAGAGGCCAGCCGAGCACCAUUAGGACACCAGGCACUCGGGCCCCCAGCAGCAUCCACUGGCCCACCCACUCGAGACCCACAGCCCAGCAGGCCGACCAGGCCGGACGCCGAGGCCUCGCGGUAUCGAGCCUCCGUGCGCCCCGCCUCCUCGCCCUCCAGCUGGCCCCGCCCUCGCUCUCUCACCCCUCCCCCGCUCCCGCCUCGCUUCCCCGACAAUCUCCU
rnacentral:lncRNA from 1 species